UGGAGCAGUGGAGCUGUGGCUAUCAGAGAAGAGAUGACAGAUGAGUCCGCCAUUUCUUCGAGACAUUGUUUGAGAAUGUAAAACUUUUCUGAUAUUAAAAGGCAUGUUACAGCCUUCAACUUAUACUUGGGAAUUCUAUCUGAUCACGUGGCCUGAAACCGCUGUACAUUUCCCCAAAAUGUCGUCUCUUCAUAGCCCGUGCUGCAUUUACCGGCUGUACAUUUCGUACUAUACUGAAAUUGAAAUGCUUUAGAACAGUAAAAGCUGGUGAAGUCUGAGCUUCUUCAUUGCAGUUUUGUGCGCACACGGAUGUGUUGCAGCCAGCUGGCAAAAGGUUUUCCCAUUGCAGGCUUACUACUUGCUACUCAUUAACUUUGUUGAUGUCUACUUGUCUAGCUUGUUGCUUUACAUAUUACAUCUGUUCACUUUUCAGUUAAAAGUGCCAUAAUUUUUUUCCCUAGUAGCAUUACAGCCUCUUGUCUAACCCUCUUCGUGCCAGUCUAUUGUGCAAGCAGACUGGAUGUGGCCAGCUGGUGUAUGCAGACUCAGAUGGUGAGCUGUUGAAUGCAGACUCUGGUACCGAUCGUUUGUUUAUUUAAGUGUGUAAAAUUCUGUCCACCAGGUGGCGGAGUGUCUGCUUUUGAGUGAGAUGUGACGUGACGAGAUUCUUCCAUCCAUUCUUCCAUUUGCUCUUGAGACAGCCGACGGGAAUGUGUUGCUGGUGGUGUUUUUCGCUUUUGUAUUUAUAACGAUUGAAGUAUUCCCACGCCAUUCGACCAAGCUGAAACGAAAGUAAACAACUCUAAAGCAACAUGUCGAAGAUCUUGCCUUUUUGCACGUGGUCGCUGCUGUGUAAUGAAGAUGCGUCUAUCAGAGGGUUCUACUAAUAUUGCAAGACCAUAAUGUGAUGAAAUCAGGAAAUCUAAAAUGUUGGCAGAUGGACUAGAAUGGAGCUUGUGCAGACUAGUAGUUCAACAUCACACCGUGUCCGUGUGUUAUUUGCCUAUGCUUGUGUUCAUGCUGUGUUGAACAGUUGGUGAAAAUAAUCAAUGUUGCCUGAUAGCCAUAGCCAUAAUUUUAUCCGCUACAUUUUGUCGAUAUGACAUCUUUAGCUACUUGUACCGGCGUUGAGUUUAAUCGUUCGCCGUCCUUCCAUAGUUGAAAUUGAAGAGAGGUUGUUAAAUUCAAGACUGAUAAAUUUGUUAAAAAGUGCAUAUCUGUGCUCCCUCCCUCCCCGUUUCCUCAAGUAAACAAACCAACUCUCCUCUCUCGGUGGUUAAUAACCCGUUGUGAUAAUUGUGAUGAGGGGCAUUAUUUGUAGAAACUUGAUGGCUAUGAGUGAAAUCCUCCCAAGAAUAAUUUGCUCACUUUAUAAUUUCAACUCUUCUCUUUUUUUCUAUGAUAAAUUGCUCCUAACAACUGCUUUCCUACCCCUGACUCUUCCAUCUGCUAACUUCUGUUUAAAUAUCCUAAAAUAUCUGUUAACUUAUUUCCACACAUACAAUUACUUUGUUAAGACUUAAUUACACAUUAACAAUAAGUGA